ACAAACUUGGUCAUUUAGAGGAAGUAAAAGUCGUAACAAGGUAACCGUAGGUGAACCUGCGGUUGGAUCAUUACAGAAAUAGGGAGGGGGGCGGCGAAGAGUGAUUGCUUUCUCUCUCUCUCUCUCUCCCCCUCUGGCAACUAUUGGCGCCCUCGGGAGGAAUGGUGAAAUUGAACUUUCGUCUUUCCUUUUCCCGUGCAUGGCAAUGCACAGAAAAGAGUGUUUCUCUUUCUGUGUAUUUUUGGACGGUAUGGAACACAACACCAUAUGGAAUGCAUCUUCUUUGUUCAGAGGAAGGUGUCAGGUUAUACCCUGCUGCCGUCGAAGUACCUCUCAACAACCCAAUCUUCGCGUAGCUCUCUUCUCCUCCACCAUCGGUGUUGGGAAAGAAUUGCGGAAGAAAACCAAAAACAUUGUUCAGAUAAACAUGAUGGAAAAAAGCACAACUUUUGACAACGGAUCUCUUGGCUCUCGCAUCGAUGAAGAACGCAGC
rnacentral:misc_RNA from 1 species